rnacentral:telomerase_RNA from 1 species
CAACAUCCAAACAUCUCAAGUUCCCAAACCCCCGGAAGUUGCCCGCACAGCGUCCAUCUUGGAACCGUCUCGAUCCAAGGCACGCCAAACCUCUGGAACCCACCCGAGAGGCAUUUCUCGUCAAUCUAUAUCGCACUGUGCAAGCCAGCAGUCGCCUUCCCGUCGUCGACCCGCGCCGUUCCAGCUUCCACUCUUUCGCUCACACGCACGGCGCCUCCCCCACAGUUCUCCGAUUCCAAUUUUCCGCAAGGAAUGUCAUCGCGACCGCCCCGCCGGUGUCUGGACACCCGCAGUACGUCGCAGCUUCGAUCCCGUAUCGGGUGCCUCUCAAGCCUGCCGCGCCUGGAUUACUGCGGUUCAGUUCUUGUCCGCCGGGCAAGCCAGUCCCGCGGGGCGAAUUGGUCUCGGAACUUAACCCUAAGUAUACCUUUGGUUCUGAAAAGUCUUGCGCUCCUAUAGUCGUUCGGACCGCCUUCUAUGCUCGCGUCUUUCGAGGGGUACGUCGCCACUGGCCGCUGAAAAGUGGUGUGGCACUGCUCCGGCGAGGACGUGGGCGGACCGGCGGGAUGGGCUCCAGUCACCGGCUCGGUGGGCGACCGUCCCUUCCCAUGAGUCCACACGGUAAGCGCCUCUGGCCCGAGGCCGCUCGUCGGGAAUCGGACACUGGAACUAGUACUCUGGUCAAUGCGGAUUGCCUGUGGCGGUGUUGGCUGGACGACCGAGUGUCGGCGGAUACCUCCGGGCAGCUUGUCUGCUUGCAUGCUCCCAUGGGCUGGCUCCUGCUUGCAGUCCCAGCUUCCGGAAUGAGAGGGAGAGCGCAGCAUCUGGCUCCACACGAUCAUCCAGUACAUUUCACCACAUUGUCUGCAGCUCACCUCGCAGGAAUCACUUCGGUGAGCGAGGGCUGUUCGACUCCACGCGGAAAUGUCGAAGGAUGAUGUCCACCACGCCGUGCUGUCACGUUCUCGGUACCCUCGAUUUCCGUCUCUUCUUGCAUGCGUAUCCAACCGCCUCGCGGCUCCGCCGACCCCCAUGGACCGCGCUGCGGCACCAUGCCCACGCGUCAUGAAACCAUGAGGUCCGACCAGGCGCAUUAACUUGUCCUCGUAGGCGUCCGUCCUACGUCCGACAAGACGACCAAAACACCCCGUGUCUCGCUGUGCCUUCGGGUGCCGAGCACUCCCUCCCUCCGCCGGGUCUGAAAGAACGAUUUUCGGCUGGAGAUGACAGCGCGGUUUUUGAGGACGUCUUUUGUCCGUGCGGUACCGCCCUCCUUGGUCGGCUCCGCCUACUCGGCGGUCGGCAGUGGAGAGGAAUCAAAAACUAGUCCCAGUUGGCAGUGCGACACACACGGAGAGCAGUGGCUGGCUCGGCGUCUCGGCACGGGGAAGUGCACCGCUGGCUGCCGAGUUUGACGAGAUCUGCAUCAAUGACGGUCGGCUUCUGCUUAAAGGUUGGGCGUUGCGGAGGAUCCUGACACUCUGUGGGGGGUUGGGGGUUGGGACUUAGUUGGCUGAUUGAGGAACAAUGCGUCAACCUGGGUUCUCCUGAUGAAGGCGGCAGGUGGAGACGGAUCCGGGUCCGGGACCCAUCUCGAGUUGGAGUCAAAGCUUUGUGCUUGUCUGGCGCUCGGAUUCUGUCUCCUUCGGCUCUCCAGAGUCGGAGCUCUCCAGGGAGCGCUUUGUUGUUCGAUGCCGGCUGGUUGGAAAAGGACGGGCCCUUGGGGGCGGUCCUGGUUGUCUUCUCUCCAGAAAUGGCGGGAAGACAACCCCUCAUUUUGGAGG